CUCACCCUUAUUUUAAGACAUUAGCGGCUUAGCCCUUCAAUUACCAAUUACCAUUCGUCCAACGCAAGAAGCCCCCAGCGGAAAUCCGCAAUACUCGCUGGCGAUUCUUCUUCCUCAGUCAGCGGACUUCUGUGAGGCAGUGCGUGCGAGGUGUUGCUUAAUAGGCCGCCGAAGCCUCCGGACGCAGUCCCAGUUAAUGUCAGAAGCCCUCUCUGACCUUUCUCUCGAAUUCUUUCGGCCUUUCUCACCUCUCCCGCCUCACCACUCACCGACUGCUCUGUCUUCUCUUGAUAAUUACGACUUAAUUGACUGAAGAUGCCAGUUAUUCUCAUCAUUCAAAAUAUCAGAAAUUCUUAAAUCACUCCUUGAUUUUUCUUCCCGCUGGAUAGUCUUUUGAUCAUUGAUUUUCUGGUGAUGCAAUGGAUGAUGUGUCUUCAAUGGAGCUCUGUGUACAAGAAUAUAUUCUCCAGCCAUUAUUUGCCACUUCAAAAUCAUCUAAACUAGAUGAAGCACUAAAGAUUCUGAUAGAAGUUUCCCGAACUGCUGAUGGCCGCUUAGACCUUGCAGCCAAUAAUAUCCUUUUCACGGCCCUUCAGCUCUGUCAAUCUCUCUCUUAUCCACCUGGUGGUCAUCUUCUGUUAUUGUCUUUAAAGUUCCUCAGGAACCUAUGUGCGGGAGAAAUAGCGAAUCAGAACUCAUUUAUUGAACAAAAUGGAGUAGAAACAGUUUCAUCUAUAUUGGGUUCAAUUGAAUUUAGUUCUGAUUUAGGUUAUAGGAUUAUAUGCAUGGGUUUGCAGGUUCUGGGAAAUGUUGUAUUGGCUGGAAAAGAACACCAGCGUGCUGUUUGGCAUCAAUUUUUUCCAGAAGAAUUUGCCAGAAUUGCAAGAGUGCGAGGAAGGGAGGCUUGUGAUACUUUAUGCAUGAUUCUUUAUACUUGUUGCGAUGGAAACGGUGGACUGAUUAGAGAGCUUUGUGGAGAUAGAGGGCUGCAUAUUGUGGCAGAAAUUGUGCAGAUUGCUUCAGCAGUUGGCAUUGGAGAAGACUGGUUGAAGUUGCUUCUUACAAGAAUCUGCCUUGAAGAAUUUCACUUUCAGCCAUUAUUUUCUAAGUUAAGCCUAUAUAGGUUUGAGAAAUCGGCUGAUAUCAAAUGUGGAGAUGAUCAUUUUGUGUCUGAACAAUCAUUUUUAUUGAGCUUCCUAUCAGAGAUCUUGAAUGGGUGGAUUUGUGAGAUCACUAUUUCUAGUGAUUUUGCACUGUGUGUUCUUGGAAUAUUCAAGAAAGCUGUUGAGGUUGUUAAUUCUGUCCCAAGAAGCGAGUUUGGUCUCCCCACUGGUUCUACUGCAGUUGAUGUUCUUGGAUACUCACUCAUCAUUUUGAGGGAUAUUUGUGCUCAAGAUGGUGCAGAGGGUGGUAAGGAGGAAAUGGUGGACGUUGUUCACUCAUUGAUAUGUGGAGGACUUUUAGAAAUGCUUCUAGGUUUGCUUCGUGAUCUUGAGCCUCCAGCCUUAAUUAGGAAAGCCAUCAAACAAGUUGAGAAUCAUGAUGGAACUUCCUCCUAUUCAUCCAAGAUAUGUCCUUACAAAGGAUUUCGUAGAGACAUUGUAGCAGUCAUUGGUAACUGUGCUUACCAUAGGAAGCAUGUACAAGAUGAAAUCAGACAGAAGAAUGGGAUUCUUUUGCUAUUGCAACAGUGUGUUAACGAUGAACAUAACACAUUCUUGAGGGAAUGGGGCAUUUGGUCAGUUAGAAAUUUGUUGGAAGGGAAUGCAGAAAACCAACGAAUAGUAGCUGAAUUGGAGCUUCAAGCGUCUGUUGAUGUGCCUGAAAUUGCUGGACUUGGUCUCCGAGUAGAGGUGGAUCAGAGAACUCGACGUGCGAAGCUUGUAAAUGCCUUAUGAAGGUGUCCCAAGCGUAAAGAAGAAUUUCUGGGUGAAACUGAAUAUAUGAUUAAUGUUGAUGUUGUCAGCAGGACCAGGCUGACUGUAUAUCAUGGAUCUUGAAGUCUGACCGGAGUCAAUAUUUGAAGAAUUGGGUAGAUAAAUACUUUUGUUCUCUUCAUAUCGGAGGGCCAGGGGCCAUAGGGAAUGUUGAUACACAGCGGAGUUAAUUUUGGGACAUGGUACUUCGUUUGCAAGGUUUGAUGUUGUCAAAUUUGAUGGAACUGGAAAUUUCAGUUUGUGGCAGAGGAGAGUGAAGCAUGGUUUUAAAUUGCGGUAGCGGGUGGCGUAAUGUAACGGUAACGGGUGUAAUGGGAAGCGGGAGUAGCGGAUGUUACAUAACGAGAAGUGGGUGUAACGACUUUGAAUUUUUUUUAAGCACACACAACCUUUGCAUAUUAGCGUACUUGCAUAUUUUAAACUUUUAGUCCUUCUUAGAAAGAGUUUUAGUGUAUUUUGGAUCCUUUAGUUUGACUAAGUUAUUUGGUAACGGCAACAAGUUUACAUUUUUUUUAAACCACCAUUGAUAGAAAAAUUACGUGUGUGCGCAUAUUUA